UAUCCAGGAGAACUUCCCCAAUCUAGCAAAGCAGGCCAACAUCCAAAUUCAGGAAAUACAGAGAACACCACGAAGAUACUCCUCGAGAAGAGCAACUCCAAGACACAUAAUUGGCAGAUUCAUCACAGUUGAAAUGAAGGAAAAAAUGUUCAGAGCAGCCAGAGAGAAAGGUCAGGUUAAGCCAGAAGAGAGUGGGGGCCAAUAUUCAACAUUCUUCAAGGAAAGAAUUUUCAACCCAGAAUUACAUAUCCAGCCAAACUAAGCUUCAUAAGUGAAGGAGAAACAAAAUCCUUUACAGACAAGCAAAUGCUGAGAGAUUUUGUCACCACCAGGCCUGCCCUACAAGAGUUCCUGAAGGAAGCACUAAACAUGGAAAGGAACAAUGGU
rnacentral:lncRNA from 10 species